rnacentral:misc_RNA from 1 species
CAUAAAGUGCACCGCAGUGCAUGUUUGCAAAGGUGUGGGAUCGUGUGUUGCACAACACGCGUUCUUGCUCUCUCUGUCAAUUGGUCCGGCAGCUAUGGGGUUGGGGUUGUGCUGGCGUGGAUUGUAUGAACUGUUUUCCUCGCUUUACACACCGUAACUUGGGCACUCCGCUCCCCAUCAGUUGCUGAGACUGGUGAAUGCUUUGCGCCAUGAGCAUUCGCUUCUCUUUUAUUUU